rnacentral:lncRNA from 1 species
AUGCAAUGUUGUUCCUAUUAUGUACAAUGUUCCUCUAAUUCUACUCACUUUACUUUGCAUCAGCUCAUGUAAGUCUUUCCAGAUUUUUCUAAAAUCCAUAAGGCUUUCUUUCAAGAAGUAAAUGAACAACUUUGAUAUUUAGAGAAGUGUAUUAUAAUUAUUGAACUAAUAAACAAAUGUAUUGCAUGCCUACUGGGUGAGUAUUGUCUAGGGCUAGAAACAAAAUAAAGUCUAUUUUAUCAUUUAUCAAAUAGUUCCUGUCAUCAUCAUCAUCAUCAUUUUGGAUUUCUAAGUGGAAAAAGAGAUGAAAAUGCAAAUUAGAGGAUUGGUUUACUGGAAAGAACAUAGACCUGGACGUCAGAAGACUUGUCAUCUAGAUUUUGCUCUGCUUCCAGUACUUUCUUUAAAAAAGUACUUUCAUCUCUCUGAGUCCCACUUAUCUCAUGUAGAAUAGAAAAAAAAAAAAUAACACUCAUACUAAUUAUUUCAGAGAGUUGUAAGGAUCAAAUGUGAUAACAUUUACAAAUGGUUUUAAAUAAUAUAUAAUCCUCAUAUUCCUGUUGGCGUCAGUUCCACAGCUGAUCAGUCUCUGGGGCAUAAACAGGAUAUACUUUUUAUCUCAGCUUACUAGGGGAAGCAGUUAAAGCAGAAAGUGGCUUUGUCUCUUACAGUCACUCAUAUGAGUUGUGUGGCCACAGGGUAUCUUUCAGGGUUCCCCCAGACAACUUCCCAAGACGAUAAGCAGUAGACAAGUUUCUCCUCAGUUUGGUGGGGACUACUCCAUACCCACAAAAAUGAUAGGUAUGGAUAUAAUCAAAAAUACUUUUUGACCUCUGUCACCCAAAUCAUCCUUCAAAACAAAUUAGAAAUAUCCACAAAGAGGAAAGGGUGGGAAUGGUAAGGACCAGUAAUCUCCCUCAUUCCUCUACUAGGUUCAAAGCACUUUUUUUUUCAUUUAUUAAUUCACUAUAGGCAAACUAGGCAAUAGCUUUGUUGUUGCCAAAUGAGAAUGUGAUUUCUAACACUAUGUUCAUUUUGCUAAUCCCAUCAGGGGGAAUUGACUCAGAAG